AGAGUUUGAUCAUGGCUCAGAAUAAACGCUGGCGGCGUGCCUAACACAUGCAAGUCGAGCGAGAAAGCUCUUUCGGGAGUGAGUACAGCGGCGGACGGGUGAGUAACGCGUGAGAAUCUGCCCUUCAGUGAGGAAUACCUCAGAGAAAUCUGAGAUAAUACUGCAUACGUCCCUUCGGGGAGAAAGAUGGCCUCUUUGCUAUCGCUGAUUGAUGAGCUUGCGUACUAUUAGCUAGUUGGUGGGGUAAAGGCCUACCAAGGCGAGGAUGGUUAGCCGACCUGAGAGGGUGUACGGCCACACUGGAACUGAGACACGGUCCAGACUCCUACGGGAGGCAGCAGUGAGGAAUAUUGCGCAAUAGGCGAAAGCCUGACGCAGCGACGCCGCGUGGAGGAUGAAGGUUUUAGGAUUGUAAACUCCUGUUAAGUGGGAAGAAAGGCUCAUUUCUAAUACAAAUGAGAUAUGACGGUACCAUUAGAGAAAGCACCGGCUAACUUCGUGCCAGCAGCCGCGGUAAUACGAGGGGUGCAAGCGUUAUUCGGAAUUAUUGGGCGUAAAGGGUGCGUAGGCGGUAUGUUAAGUCAAUUGUUCAAUUCUCCGGCCUAACCGGAGGCAAGCGAUAGAUACUGGCAUACUAGAGGGUGGAAGAGAGAAGUGGAAUUCUCGGAGUAGCGGUAAAAUGCGUAGAUCUCGAGAGGAACACCAAUGGCGAAGGCAGCUUCUUGGUCCACACCUGACGCUGAGGCACGAAAGCGUGGGGAGCAAACAGGAUUAGAUACCCUAGUAGUCC
rnacentral:rRNA from 1 species